UUUGACUCCAUUUCCAGUUCUUUUUCCAGGCCCUGCUUUUUUGUUGCGAACAAAAGAAGAUUGACCUGAGCAAUAAAGGGGCUGAUAUUUCCAGAGGAGGGCUUUACCAUACCAGGCACCCUCCAGAGCCUUCCCGUUUCCUCUCUAGAAGAAUCCAGUGUGAGAAUCCCACUAGUGUUUUGCUGGACCUGAGUGGGCAGGAACAUCUUUGCUGGACGUUUCAGUAUCUCUUAGAAGAUCUGCAAAACAGAACAGGCCUUCAGACAGCCACAGCACCCAGUGCUGGAUUGUCAGGGAUGGGAAUGCAGGGGCGAAGGCUUAAUGAAGAGUGAUGAUAUGAUACUGUGGUUUUGUUUAUCAUUUUAAAAACAACUUGGGAAAAUGCUGCAAAUUGGAACAUUAGCUUCAGCCUGUGGUCUUGCCGUGACAACAUCGGACAGGUUGGCCAGAGAUUUUCAAAGGUUUUGAUUGAUACCUUUUCCUUGCAUUUUGGUAAAAAUAUCAUGUUUUCGCAUUUCCUGCUUGGGCUUUUUGUUAUUUCUAAUGGGUGAAUCUGUAUCUGUUUCAGCGCCUGCCUUUUCUUCCUUAUCCUGUUAAUUAAUAAAUCCAGGCUGGUUUUGCUGAGAGCUGUAACACUUGCUCCUGCUGGUGGGCAAGGCAUUCCAUUAAUCCAAAAUGUGAUGCCAACUAAAAGUCCACCUGCCUGUGGUCCUUCAAAAUCCCUCAGUGAUUUUGUAAACCAGAUGAUAAGACCAGGGAAGUAUUUGCCAAACUCAGAUUUAGUCUGUGGUGCAGUUGUAGCUGGAUGAAGUGUUGAAGUACAAGUUGGCCCAUGUAAUUUCCUGGUAAGGCUGCCCUGUCCCUUCUGAGGAAUUACAGGAACACCUCAGAAAAUGGAAAAUUAAUUUCCAACCUUUUUUUGAAAUACUGAAAUUCCUUCUAUAGGUUAUUGUCUUGUCAUUUCAUUGAGUUAUUUUAGCUUUUUUCUUUUGUUUCACUUGCAUUUGUCACCAAAACUGCCCCCUCAGUUACCUUCUUUUUAACUGCCUUGAGAGUAUGGUGCAGUCCAGAAGUGGAUGGGAGCAGCAAGAGAUGGGAGGGCUACAUGGUGAAGCAGGUUGCAGGGCAGAAUUCCUGUUAGCUGGGCGCCACGGACUAGGUCGCAGGCUAGGUAGUGGACAGAAAGAGGGAGACCUGGCCAUGGAGUCAUGCUGUGCAAACAUAAGAGGAAUAGCUACAGCUGUUGGAGAGCAGAAUGAAAAAGGCGUUUGUGAGAGCAUCACACUUGACUGGUUGGAUAAAAAAAACAUUUCUUCUCUCUAGAUUCAGUACAGAUAUUUCUUGAGUAGAAGUCCAGAGAGAGCUGAGGAAAUCUUCAGACAGUUUGCUGGCCUACAUUGUCCAACACUUGUUUUUAACUGAACCAUCACAUGUAUCUUAAAAUAUUUUUCACAGCUUUUCCUGAGGCUCAAUUGCUUGGGCGUAAACAGUGGUGAUUCUUAAAGCAAUUGCAUACAUUCAUUUUCCCUGAACCCGCUGGCCCCUGUUUUGACUGCAUAAGCAUUUGCAAAGCCUUGCUGGCAUACGUUAACUCUUGUUCAAUAACUUGUGAGCAGGUACUCGUACAGAUUUGCAGGGGAAAGCCAGGCAGCAGAGUGCUUGGAAGAGUAACCUGUGCAACAGUGUUACUCUCGAACAAGGCUUUGACCCUUCCAUCUGAUGGACUUCACCUCUCAUGAACCUCAACCACCCCAUACAAGUCCUGGCUGUCAUCUGAUGUUAUCUAAAUGCACCUAGAGCAGAACAGAGUACAUGGCAUGUGAAUGAGCCUGAAGGAUGCUGGAGGGCUCAGAUGUUCAGCUCAGGUAUAUCUCAGUGUGGGUUGUGUCUUCAGCCUGGUUAGAAGAGCUGACCAGCCCAGCAGCACGGUGCAUACCCUACGCAUCUCAAGAAUGAUGUUACACAGUGUUGCUUUGCUUGCUGAUCUUGUGGAUAAACUUUUUUUCUGAACAAUGCAGGUAGUAGCUUUGUAGGGAAAACUGACCCCUGUCGUCGUGUGUCCCCCCCGCCCAUAGACAAAUCUAGAUUCACUGUAAAACCCAUGCAUUUUCUUGGCCCUGCAGCAUCUGUCAAAGAGCUGCUUCAGCACCGUAGCGCUUGGGAACUGUAACUUAACUUCCACCCUGAAACUCUUUGGCUUGUUCUGGUAUAUUCUUGUGCUAAUGCCAAUUUUCUGUCUAAGUAGGCUUCUUUGCUUCGUUGUGCUUUCUUCCCUGCCAUAUUUCUACAGGGAAAGCUGAAUGUUUUUGCAUCUUCUUUUGGAAGACUGAAAUUCCCAUCUCCCUGACUCACUCUUCUCUGUGCUUGUUGGGAUGGGAGGGUCUCUGGAGAAUGAGGCACCCUGCUCUACCAGUGUCCCUGGAGAGCGUCAGUGACACUUCCCCAACUCCGUUGGCUAUAUCUGGCCGGAUAUACCCUGGGGUCACACUUGGCUUUUCCACUGCCACAGGAUGCUGGGGUCCUGUAGGCACUCUGGUAAUAGCACAUCCCAGUUUUGUGUGUCUGUUUUUGUCAGCUAAGGGGCCUUUCUUAACAUGGACUUUCUUAAACUACUCUUACAUCUGUGACUCCUGAGAUCUUCAUCGUGUUUCCACAGGAUUUCCACUUCUCCUGAAUGCCUCUCAACCUCAAAUCUUCAGCAAACUGAAUUUGUAUCUACCCAUAUUUCUCCCUCCUUUGAAGAAAUACCUUUCCAUUUCUCUUUACACUCAGAUAAACAUUUGUUGCUUCAUUCCACUUGGACUCCUUUGCUUUGGCGAACCUAGAGUCUCUCCGUGAGGCUGGUUAAUGUGAUGUGCAAGUGAAAAGAAGUGUCCUUGCUUGGCCAUCUCUACAAGGACUUGCCUGCCUGAGCUCUGCAAUUAUGUGAUUUUAAUUGGCUUUUAAUUUGGGAAGAUUAUAUAAUAUACUUAAAUGAAAACCACAGAGGUGUUGUUAAUAUGUAGGUUAGAAAUUGCAAACAAAAUGAUAAGUGACUGAAUUGCUUCUGAGCUCAUACAGGCAAAUUCACAUUUACUUUCCCAUGUACUUAAUGUAAAAUAUACCAGAAAGUCCAUAAUUAGAAAAUUACAAGGAUUUAAAACCUAUAUUGCAAAAAUACAUUUCUGUGGCUCUGGAGGUUGCAAACAUGCUUUCCAUGUAGAGCUGUAUGUUGCAUUUAUGCUGAUUUAAUCAUUCAUUAAACAUUAGUA